CCUACGGGAGGCAGCAGUGAGGAAUAUUGGUCAAUGGGCGGGAGCCUGAACCAGCCAAGUCGCGUGAGGGAAGACGGUCCUGUGUAUUGUAAACCUCUUUUGUCGGGGAGCAAUGCCGGGCACUCGUCCCCGGAUGGAGAGUACCCGCAGAAUAAGCAUCGCCUACUCCCGUGCCAGCGGCCGCGGGAAUACGGAGGAUCCGAGGGUGAUCCGGAUUUAUUGGGUUUAAAGGGUGCGUAGGCGGAUUUUAAAGUCAGCGGUAAAAGGUCGGGGCUCAACCCGGGCCGGCCGUUGAAACUGGGGAGCUUGAGUGGGAGAGAAGUACGCGGAAUGCGUGGUGUAGCGGUGAAAUGCAUAGAUAUCGCGCAGAACUCCGAUUGCGAAGGCAGCAUGCCGGCUCCACACUGACGCUGAGGCACGAAAGCGUGGGUAUCGAACAGGAUUAGAUACCCCUGUAGUC
rnacentral:rRNA from 1 species